rnacentral:rRNA from 1 species
AGGAUGAACGCUGGCGGCGUGCCUAACACAUGCAAGUCGAACGUCCUGUCUCGCAAGAGGCAGGGAGUGGCGGACGGGUGAGUACCACGUGGGUCAUCUACCGUGAGGUGAGGAAUACCGGCGAGAAAUCGCCGACAAGACCGCAUAGCCUCGGUGCAAGCCGAGGAAAGCUCUUUCGAGAGAGGGAGCGCCACACGAGGAGCCUGCGCCCGAUUAGCUAGCUGGUGGAGUAACGGUUCACCAGGGCGACGAUCGGUAGCUGGUCUGAGAGGACGAUCAGCCACACUGGGAUUGAGAACGGCCCAGACUCCUACGGGGGGCAGCAGUGAGGAAUUUUCGUCAAUGGGGGCAACCCUGAACGAGCAACGCCGCGUGCAGGAAGAAGGUUUUCGGAUCGUAAACUGCUUUCUCGGGGAAGAGAACGGACGGUACCCGAGGAAUCAGCCCCGGCUAACGUACGUGCCAGCAGCCGCGGUAA